UACGUAGGGGGCUAGCGUUGCUCGGAAUCACUGGGCGUAAAGGGUGCGUAGGCGGGUCUUUAAGUCAGGGGUGAAAUCCUGGAGCUCAACUCCAGAACUGCCUUUGAUACUGAAGAUCUUGAGUUCGGGAGAGGUGAGUGGAACUGCGAGUGUAGAGGUGAAAUUCGUAGAUAUUCGCAAGAACACCAGUGGCGAAGGCGGCUCACUGGCCCGAUACUGACGCUGAGGCACGAAAGCGUGGGGAAGCAAACAGGG
rnacentral:rRNA from 1 species